GACGAACGCUGGCGGCGUGCUUAACACAUGCAAGUCGAGCGGUAAGGCCCUUUCGGGGUACGACGAGCGGCGAACGGGUGAGUAACACGUGGGUGACCUGCCCUCAGCUCUGGGAGUAAGCCUGGGAAACCGGGUCUAAUACCGGAUAUGACUCCAUGACGCAUGUUGUGGGGUGGAAAGCCUUGUGCGGCUGAGGAUGGGCCCGCGGCCUAUCAGCUUGUUGGUGGGGUGAUGGCCUACCAAGGCGACGACGGGUAGCCGGCCUGAGAGGGCGACCGGCCACACUGGGACUGAGACACGGCCCAGACUCCUACGGGAGGCAGCAGUGGGGAAUCUUGCGCAAUGGGCGAAAGCCUGACGCAGCGACGCCGCGUGA
rnacentral:rRNA from 1 species